ensembl:misc_RNA Metazoa_SRP Metazoan signal recognition particle RNA
GCUGGGUGUGGUGGUGCCUGCCUGUAGUCCCAGUUAUUCAGGAGGCUGAAGCAGGAGAAUCACUUGAACCCAGGAGUUUAAGGCUGCAGUGUGCUAUGAUAUGCCACUGCAUUCCAGCCUGGGUGACAGAGUGAGACCCUGUCUCUA